CAGCCGCGGUAAUACGGAGGGUGCAAGCGUUAUCCGGAAUCAUUGGGUUUAAAGGGUCCGCAGGCGGUCAAUUAAGUCAGAGGUGAAAUCCCAUAGCUCAACUAUGGAACUGCCUUUGAUACUGGUUGACUUGAGUUAUACGGAAGUAGAUAGAAUAAGUAGUGUAGCGGUGAAAUGCAUAGAUAUUACUUAGAAUACCGAUUGCGAAGGCAGUCUACUACGUAUAUACUGACGCUCAUGGACGAAAGCGUGGGGAGCGAACAGGA
rnacentral:rRNA from 12 species